GGAAACCAUUUUUUUUCACUUUCCCUUUUCCUUUUUUUUCUCUUCUCUGGCGUCUCUCUCUCUCUCUCGGCUCUCACCUCUCUCACCUUCUCUCUUCGAUUUCAUCGACCACGAGUGAGACUUUUGAAAAAUCCCAAGUACUAAAGUUGUUCUACGCGACGAGAGCUUCCUAUCCAUCGAAGAAAAUUCACGAUCGGAGCACUUCGAAGUUUCCUCCAUAUUCGGGCUUGCUUCUAACCCUCGAGGUACUUGUCAUGACACGUAGCUUGGAUUGCAUGGAGUGCACAUUGAGACGUCUCUUGAGCGCUUCAUUGGAACCUUUAAGGAGUGGUUUAUCAUCAAGUUUGGUUCAUGUCAUGUACUUUACUUGCAAUUGAAGGUUGUAUCUUUUGAUUAGAUCAUAUGUAAAGCUAUGUACAAACUCCUCUCCUUGAUGAUUAUGAAACCCAUUUAAGUGUAAACGUUUGGGAGACUUUAUGUAAAAAAAAAAAAAAAAAAAAAAAUUUAGAGAGAAG